CUUAAUUGGGCGUUAAGUUGCAGGGUAUAGACCCGAAACCCGGUGAUCUAGCCAUGGGCAGGUUGAAGGUUGGGUAACACUAACUGGAGGACCGAACCGACUAAUGUUGAAAAAUUAGCGGAUGACCUGUGGCUGGGGGUGAAAGGCCAAUCAAACCGGGAGAUAGCUGGUUCUCCCCGAAAGCUAUUUAGGUAGCGCCUCGUGAAUUCAUCUCCGGGGGUAGAGCACUGUUUCGGCUAGGGGGCCAUCCCGGCUUACCAACCCGAUGCAAACUGCGAAUACCGGAGAAUGUUAUCACGGGAGACACACGGCGGGUGCUAACGUCCGUCGUGAAGAGGGAAACAACCCAGACCGCCAGCUAAGGUCCCAAAGUCAUGGUUAAGUGGGAAACGAUGUGGGAAGGCCCAGACAGCCAGGAUGUUGGCUUAGAAGCAGCCAUCAUUUAAAGAAAGCGUAAUAGCUCACUGGUCGAGUCGGCCUGCGCGGAAGAUGUAACGGGGCUAAACCAUGCACCGAAGCUGCGGCAGCGACACUGUG
rnacentral:rRNA from 1 species